AGAACGAACGCUGGCGGCAUGCCUAACACAUGCAAGUCGAACGAGACCUUCGGGUCUAGUGGCGCACGGGUGCGUAACGCGUGGGAAUCUGCCCUUGGGUUCGGAAUAACAGCGAGAAAUUGCUGCUAAUACCGGAUGAUGACGUAAGUCCAAAGAUUUAUCGCCCAAGGAUGAGCCCGCGUAGGAUUAGCUAGUUGGUGGGGUAAAAGCCCACCAAGGCGACGAUCUGUAGCUGGUCUGAGAGGACGACCAGCCACACUGGAACUGAGACACGGUCCAGACUCCUACGGGAGCAGCAGUGGGGAAUUUUGGGACAAUGGGCGCAAGCCUGAUCCAGCAAUGCCGCGUGCAGGAUGAAGG
rnacentral:rRNA from 1 species